CCCAAACUGGGAUUAGAUACCCCACUAUGCCUAGCCCUAAAUCUAGAUACCUCCCAUCACACAUGUAUCCGCCUGAGAACUACGAGCACAAACGCUUAAAACUCUAAGGACUUGGCGGUGCCCCAAACCCACCUAGAGGAGCCUGUUCUAUAAUCGAUAAUCCACGAUUCACCCAACCACCCCUUGCCAGCACAGCCUACAUACCGCCAUCUUCAGCAAAAA
rnacentral:rRNA from 1 species